GGAAACGGAGUGCAGCAGCAAGGUGAAACACAUGGGGAACGUCGGACCAGGGGCAAUCCAGUUCAUGUUUUCCUGCAUCGUUGAAGAGAUCAAUCGCUAUUGAUUACAUGUAUACGUUAGCCCUGGAUACUCCUGGUGCAUACUGCAUAGACCAGAUCACCCACAUUCAAUUGGGCAAAGGAAUUUUGCAAUCAGGUCACUGAGUUUUUUGAAUGUACAGGUGUUUUUUUCAUCUUUAGGUUGCCAUCUUUUCUUGAUAAAAUUCGAAAAUGCAUAUAGUUUCAUGCUUGAGAUACAAUUCGGAUCACCUUAUAUUUCUAGGAUAUAUAUGUGUACAGAAUAAGAUUUUCAAAUUGCGGCCAUGAUCCCAUGAUGAGCAUUUUUAUGUUGUUGAAAU